rnacentral:rRNA from 1 species
UACAGAGGUCCCCAAGCGUUGUUCGGAUUCACUGGGCGUAAAGGGUGCGUAGGCGGUCGGGUAAGUCUGACGUGAAAUCUCCAAGCUCAACUUGGAAAUGGCGUCGGAUACUAUUCGGCUGGAGGAUUGGAGGGGAGACUGGAAUUCUCGGUGUAGCAGUGAAAUGCGUAGAUAUCGAGAGGAACACCAGUGGCGAAGGCGAGUCUCUGGACAAUUCCUGACGCUGAGGCACGAAAGCCAGGGGAGCAAAC